GAUGAACGCUGGCGGCGUGCUUAACACAUGCAAGUCGAACGAUGAAGCCCUGCUUGCGGGGUGGAUUAGUGGCGAACGGGUGAGUAACACGUGAGCAACCUGCCCCUGACUCUGGGAUAACAGCCGGAAACGGUUGCUAAUACCGGAUAUGCAUCAUAGCCGCAUGGUUUGUGGUGGGAAAGAUUUUUCGGUUGGGGAUGGGCUCGCGGCCUAUCAGCUUGUUGGUGAGGUAGUGGCUCACCAAGGCGUCGACGGGUAGCCGGCCUGAGAGGGUGACCGGCCACACUGGGACUGAGACACGGCCCAGACUCCUACGGGAGGCAGCAGUGGGGAAUAUUGCACAAUGGGCGGAAGCCUGAUGCAGCAACGCCGCGUGAGGGAUGACGGCCUUCGGGUUGUAAACCUCUUUUAGCAGGGAAGAAGCGUGAGUGACGGUACCUGCAGAAAAAGCGCCGGCUAACUACGUGCCAGCCGCCGCAGUAACAC
rnacentral:rRNA from 1 species